UACGAAGGGGGCUAGCGUUGCUCGGAAUCACUGGGCGUAAAGCGCACGUAGGCGGGUCGUUAAGUCGGGGGUGAAAUCCUGGAGCUCAACUCCAGAACUGCCUUUGAUACUGGCGAUCUUGAGUCUGGGAGAGGUGAGUGGAACUCCGAGUGUAGAGGUGAAAUUCGUAGAUAUUCGGAAGAACACCAGUGGCGAAGGCGGCUCACUGGCCCGGUACUGACGCUGAGGUGCGAAAGCGUGGGGAGCAAACAGG
rnacentral:rRNA from 1 species